UUGUCCUGGGAUAGUUUCAUAUAUUUUGCAUUCCAUUCAUCCUCUCGUUCCUUAGCCUGUAGAGACAGCAAAGGGGAUGAGACUGGCUGUCCACCCCGUAACAGGCAAGCAGGCCCGUGCUGGGAGGUGCGAGGCCUACGUCCCCGUAACAGGCAAGCAGGCCCGUGCUGGGAGGUGCGAGGCCUACGUCCCCGUAACAGGCAAGCAGGCCCGUGCUGGGA